rnacentral:rRNA from 1 species
GAACUCCUACGGGAGGCAGCAGUGAGGAAUAUUGGUCAAUGGGCGAGAGCCUGAACCAGCCAAGUAGCGUGCAGGAAGACGGCCCUAUGGGUUGAUAAACUGCUUUUAUACGGGGGAUAAAGUGAGCCACGUGUGGCUUAUUGCAGGUACCGUAUGAAUAAGGACCGGCUAAUUCCGUGC